rnacentral:rRNA from 1 species
AGCUCGAUUAGCGUAUAUUAACUUUGUUGCAGUUAAAAAGCUCGUAGUUGGAUUUUUGGUAUGCCUUGGGUUCCAGUCACUUUUGUUGUCUGUGUAACUUGAGGUUGCCAUCCUUGGGUGGAAUCUGUGUGGCAUUAGGUUGUCGUGCAGGGGAUGCCCAUCUUUUACUGUGAAAAAAUUAGAGUGUUCAAAGCAGGCUUAUGCCGUUGAAUAUAUUAGCAUGGAAUAAUGAGAUAGGACUUUUUUGCUAUUUUGUUGGUUUGCGCAAAGAGGUAAUGAUUAAUAGGGACAGUUGGGGGUAUUCGUAUUCCAUUGUCAGAGGUGAAAUUCUUGGAUUUCUGGAAGACGAACUAAUGCGAAAGCAUUUACCAAGGAUGUUUUCAUUAAUCAAGAACGAAAG